AAUGGUAGAGCGCUCGCUUAGCAUGCGAGAGGUACUGGGAUCGAUACCCAGCUUCUCCA
rnacentral:tRNA from 1 species